rnacentral:rRNA from 2 species
AGCAACAAAUGCCCUGCUUCCAGGAAAAGCCUCUAAGCAUCAGGUAACAUCAAAUCGUACCCCAAACCGACACAGGUGGUCAGGUAGAGAAUACCAAGGCGCUUGAGAGAACUCGGGUGAAGGAACUAGGCAAAAUGGUGCCGUAACUUCGGGAGAAGGCACGCUGACACGUAGGUGAAGUGAUUUACUCAUGGAGCUGAAGUCAGUCGAAGAUACCAGCUGGCUGCAACUGUUUAUUAAAAACACAGCACUGUGCAAACACGAAAGUGGACGUAUACGGUGUGACGCCUGCCCGGUGCCGGAAGGUUAAUUGAUGGGGUCAGCGCAAGCGAAGCUCCUGAUCGAAGCCCCGGUAAACGGCGGCCGUAACUAUAACGGUCCUAAGGUAGCGAAAUUCCUUGUCGGGUAAGUUCCGACCUGCACGAAUGGCGUAAUGAUGGCCAGGCUGUCUCCACCCGAGACUCAGUGAAAUUGAACUCGCUGUGAAGAUGCAGUGUACCCGCGGCAAGACGGAAAGACCCCGUGAACCUUUACUAUAGCUUGACACUGAACAUUGAGCCUUGAUGUGUAGGAUAGGUGGGAGGCUUUGAAGUGUGGACGCCAGUCUGCAUGGAGCCGACCUUGAAAUACCACCCUUUAAUGUUUGAUGUUCUAACGUGGACCCGUGAUCCGGGUUGCGGACAGUGUCUGGUGGGUAGUUUGACUGGGGCGGUCUCCUCCUAAAGAGUAACGGAGGAGCACGAAGGUUGGCUAAUCCUGGUCGGACAUCAGGAGGUUAGUGCAAUGGCAUAAGCCAGCUUGACUGCGAGCGUGACGGCGCGAGCAGGUGCGAAAGCAGGUCAUAGUGAUCCGGUGGUUCUGAAUGGAAGGGCCAUCGCUCAACGGAUAAAAGGUACUCCGGGGAUAACAGGCUGAUACCGCCCAAGAGUUCAUAUCGACGGCGGUGUUUGGCACCUCGAUGUCGGCUCAUCACAUCCUGGGGCUGAAGUAGGUCCCAAGGGUAUGGCUGUUCGCCAUUUAAAGUGGUACGCGAGCUGGGUUUAGAACGUCGUGAGACAGUUCGGUCCCUAUCUGCCGUGGGCGCUGGAGAACUGAGGGGGGCUGCUCCUAGUACGAGAGGACCGGAGUGGACGCAUCACUGGUGUUCGGGUUGUCAUGCCAAUGGCACUGCCCGGUAGCUAAAUGCGGAAGAGAUAAGUGCUGAAAGCAUCUAAGCACGAAACUUGCCCCGAGAUGAGUUCUCCCUGAGACUUAAAGUCUCCUGAAGGAACGUUGAAGACGACGACGUUGAUAGGCCGGGUGUGUAAGCGCAGCGAUGCGUUGAGCUAACCGGUA